UGUAGCUAAACUGUGCCGGCAAGGUACCGAUUUCCCUGUACCAGCACGAAAUCGUUACACAAUCGGUACCGAGAAAUGGGGCACAUCGGUACAAAAUCUGCACUGGCAAUGUGCUAGUAGGGUCCGCUGGCGACAGAACAGUUUUAUCAACAGGUCCUACUAAAAUGCUGGGAGCUGGAUCCUGGAGACAGGCCAGAAUUUCGCGAAAUCCAUUCUUUGCUUAAUCAGACGGAGUAACGAAUUGACGACAGGAUCCUUCCUGUGAAGUCUGGAACACAUUGUUAGAUACGUUGAUACUGACAUAAAUAUGUAUAAUUACUUGAGUUUGUCAUUCACAAUUACUAAUUACUUAAUUUUGGAUGUCUGACGAGAGAAAGCAAUUACUUCCGUCAAAAGUAAUUAAUUACUUACAUAAUUACAAAUUAAUUACAUUUUUAUAUAGCCAUGAAGUUAUAAUGUUUGAAGUAUGGUAUCGUCAGGCAGGUAUCAAGUUCCCGAUAUGAAUGUUGCUACCACAUGGUCGUCAUGGUCUUAAAAUUAUAUCGGUCGGCCGGUAAAUUUUUACCGAUCAGUAUAAAGUUGCUACCGAUAUGGUAAAACUUUAAUUUCGAGCUAUUCCUACACUGCAUUACAUACUUACCAGUACCACUUCACAGUCAUAGUCACAUACAUAUGAAUGCAGUUUGAUAUUCUUUUAAUACUCUAUUUCUCAGAGCAAAAUUUACGCUGCGUAAAUGUAUGUACUAAAGAACUGCCUAAUCCAAAGUAUUAACAGAAAAUGAAUAAUUGACACCGGGAUAAUAAUUGGCUAUAAUCUUCACGAUCGUAAGAAAAUUAGUAUUAAAUGCCUGCUAUUAUCUAAAAUUAUACUAAUGGCCUGUAUUUGUAAGUUUUUAGUGAUUCGAUAUGAACAUUUAACCACCUAGUUAGACAAACAUAAAUAUGUCAUACCAAACAAAUAAGCGAACUUUGCAAGUUUAUCACUAAGAAAAUUAAUCCGAUGAUAUUUAUAAGACUAAACUAAAUAAGACACUGCAAAUAUUAUGCAGUACUCCAGGUUUGAACAUUUUUGAUGUCUAUAACAGUUCCGUACACUUCAUAGGAAUUUUUUUUCGUUUUCAGUUUACAUUUAUGUACCCACUAAAAUGCUAUCAAUAGGUUAAUCGUGUAAUACACAAUAUUCCAUGCAAUGGCUAACAUCAACGACUUACUCGCAGUCCCGAAAGGACCAAUUCUAAUUCCAACCUUAUUCAAUGAGUAAAGCAAUCUUCUUUCAUAUUUCAAGAAACAUUUCCCUGUCAAACACCCGAGAAAUAUUUCGGAUUUUUCAAAGACCUGCGUCGCCUGGGGUACAAUCGUCAUCACAAAUACUAACCCAGUCAGGCUAGUAGCCGGAAAUAUUACAUACAGCAUUAAGGGGACCUUUCUUGGGAGUCUGAUUGUUAAAUAGUUCGCUAAAGUUAUGAUACUCAUGCCAAACAAAAUUAGGUGCGGGACAACUGAAUAACACAAAUUUUGGUUGUAGAUAAUAUUCCAAAGCUGCAAUUCUUUAAACACUUUGAUCACUUUGACUUGUCCGGUCCAAACAUUAUCGAGGGCUUUUCUACACCGCGCCAUUAUUUGAAUUGAUGCAGCUAACAAGAUUGCCGCCAAGGUUGCCAGAAGACCAAAGGAUUUCAGUAGUUCGCACGACACAGCAGUUAAAGUACUAACUCUGAACGCUAUUAGGAGAAAUCUGAAAGGGGACAGCUUCGAAGUUUGAAGCAGGCUUGGGACAUAGAGUGGAUCUACGUCGGACCAGACGACGAAAGGAAUGAGUGCGAAUGGGAUAAAUGGAGAUAUCUUUAUGAAGUUGAGAAGACCAAAUUCCAUGAUUUUGUUCACCGGGGCGUAGUGUCGAAUUCUUCCCAAUGCUGCAUAAUUAAAGAAACAGACUAAAUCGUAUUUGAUAGAUAUCGAUGAAGGAAUUUCUACCCACAAAAAAAAACUCUACAAAAUAUAAGCUUUCAAGCUAGGUGGGAAUUCAGCUUGAUAGGAUCAAUCAAUCUACGGUUUUUAAAUUCCAAAGUAACGAAAUAAAGCACUAAUUUAAGAAUCGAUGAUUCAUUUCAUCAAAACAGUUUGGCAAAAUCAACAAAUUAAGGUUUUAUGAGGCUAGAAAUGAGUAGAUAUUUGCUUAAUUUCAUGAUUUUGGCCGCGAAACAUCAGGUCCAAAGUUAAUUCUUCUCAACAUAUAAACUAUACUUAUAACCUCAUAACUCUCUACAUAUAUUUAGAAAAAACAUUUCACCUCAAUUUCAGAGUCACUAAAAUGUAAAUAUUGGUAGAAAACUUUAAUAAAAAUAAUUUUAAUCA